UCCGGUGUCCCGUUUCAAUCAAGUUUUGAAUUCACAAAGGAAGCGCCCAUUCUAGUGCCGUCGUCUUGUAGCGAGUGUAAAUGAAGGAAGAUUCAUAAGCCUAAGAAAGUGAAGUAAAAGAGUAAAAAAAAAAAAAACCAAAAAAAAAAACAUGGCAUCCAUAGGCCGUUAUUAAUGGAGCUACUGUAAGUAUUGGCGAAGAUGGACACGAAAACUUAAAAUUCAAUAUCUAUUAUCAGAUCACCAGUCCUGAGCUGCAGUAUGUGCUACCUGCCAACGUACCAGUACUUUCUAUGGAGGCAUUAUAAUAAUUUUGAUCGGUUCUUGAAGAUGGUCUUGUGCAAACAAUUAUAUUUUCAAGCCUUGAAACUUGUUUAACAACAUUUAAAUCUAUUCUUAACAACUUUGUUUCCUGACUUCAAUCUGAACUGUAUCAAAAAAUACUAAGAAGAUUCAAAAGCUCAAGAUUGUCAAAAUCGGUAAGUUAAUAGAUUCUAAAAACCAAAUGUUCGGGCGAGACUUUUUUUAUACCUUGUUUAUCGAACCUGCCUACUGCAAAUAUUGAUAUUUUAAAAAUAAAAAUAAAAUUUUAUUUUUGA